AUCGAUGAAGAACGCAGCUAGCUGCGUGAAGUAAUGUGAAUUGCAGACACAUUGAACAUCGACAUUUCGAACGCAUAUUGCGGAAUCGGGUUCUUCCCGGUUCCAGGUUCUCUUGACGGCGUCAUUCAGUGAAAGCAAAUUGGCUUGUCGGAGCGCAAAGACCUGCUUCUGCGGGGUUGUUCGUAAUUGACUGCCGCGUUUCUUCGGCAAUGACAUAGUCGUACCAUACAGCCCUGCGUUUUUGCGUUCCCUGUUUCUACAAGCUAGGGAAUUGGACUUGCUGCAGCUUCAUGCUGUACCAGUCUUGAGUGAAGAUUGCUGACGGAUUAUGUCAGCGUAUACUUGAAACACGGCGUUGCCAUGUUGCAUUGCGUGAGCCGUGUGCUGCUUACAGUUGGUUUCAAACAGCUGUUGCCUUUCUGAGGUUGAGGUCCGGACCGCUAUGCGGAGCUGCAUGGAUUGAUGCCAUUUGGCUGACAUAUCUCCAUGUGGCACUGCGUUCGGGCUUCUAGUUUCUCUCGAUUGGUGGCGGUGUAAGUAGCAUGCCUGCUUCUGCCACGCAGUGCGAUUGGCUUCGCCGUUUUUAUUUUACGCGUCAAGUGGAGCCUGACUACCCGCUUAAUUUAAGCAUAUUAGUAAGCGGAGGAAAAGAAACUAACAAGGAUUUCCCUUAGUAACGGCGAGUGAAA
rnacentral:rRNA from 1 species